GCUCACUUCAGCAGCACAUACACUAAAGCUGGAAAGAUCCCAAGAAGAUUAGCAUGGCCUUUGCACAAGGAUGACAUGCAACUUUGUGAAUUUCUUACUUUUUUU